AUUGAACGCUGGCGGCAUGCCUUACACAUGCAAGUCGAACGGCAGCACGGGUGCUUGCACCUGGUGGCGAGUGGCGAACGGGUGAGUAAUACAUCGGAACAUGUCCUGUAGUGGGGGAUAGCCCGGCGAAAGCCGGAUUAAUACCGCAUACGAUCUACGGAUGAAAGCGGGGGACCUUCGGGCCUCGCGCUAUAGGGUUGGCCGAUGGCUGAUUAGCUAGUUGGUGGGGUAAAGGCCUACCAAGGCGACGAUCAGUAGCUGGUCUGAGAGGACGACGAGCCACACUGGGACUGAGACACGGCCCAGACUCCUACGGGAGGCAGCAGUGGGGAAUUUUGGACAAUGGGCGAAAGCCUGAUCCAGCAAUGCCGCGUGUGUGAAGAAGGCCUUCGGGUUGUAAAGCACUUUUGUCCGGAAAGAAAUCCUUGGCCCUAAUACGGUCGGGGGAUGACGGUACCGGAAGAAUAAGCACCGGCUAACUACGUG
rnacentral:rRNA from 1 species